rnacentral:snoRNA from 1 species
AUCCUUUGGUUCAUGAGCAUGAUGAUUGGGUGUUCGCACUAUGUAUAAGAUGUGCCUCCCUCUAAACCUUGUUAUGACUUUGGCACAUUACCCAUUUGACA